UGGGAAGUAAAAGUCGUAACAAGGUUUCCGUAGGUGAACCUGCGGAAGGAUCAUUAUUGAAUAAUAAAUACAAUUUGCAAGGUUGUAGCUGACUCUUUUAUUGAGUAAAUGUGCACGCCUUUCAGAUUUUAUUCAUCUCCAACAAACCACUUGUGCACUGUCUGUAGAUGCUGGAUGGGAGAAUAUACAAUGCUUUCAUGUCACAGUGUUUGUUCUCUUUGAGGGUUUGCUGUCAAGGCUGCCUUUGCUUUAUUGUAGCAUCUAUGUUUUUAUAAACAACUGUUUUUGUAGUCAUUUGAAUGUCUUUUUCAAGAGGCAGCAAUGCUUUUUGUUAUAAUGAAUACAACUUUCAACAACGGAUCUCUUGGCUCUCGCAUCGAUGAAGAACGCAGCGAAAUGCGAUAAGUAGUGUGAAUUGCAGAAUUCAGUGAAUCAUCGAAUCUUUGAAUGCAUCUUGCGCUCCUUGGUCAUUCCGAGGAGCAUGCCUGUUUGAGUGUCAUUAAAUUGUCAAAUCAUCUCUUCAGUUUUUUUAUUGAUGGAGAUGACUUUGGAAAUAUAGUUGGAGGCAUUGCAGACUUGACUCGCAAGUUGGCUCCUCUUAAAUGCAUGAGCAGGGACCCUUUGUAUUGACUUUGGUAUCUGGUGUGAUAAGAUUUAUCUACGCCUUUCCAGCAGUCAGUUCAAAAAGUUAUACAGUUCCGCUUCUUAUCUUUUCAAAAAAUGAAAAAUGAAAAAUCUUCAACUUGACCUCAAAUCAGGUAGGACUACCCGCUGAACUUAAGCAUAUCAAUAAGC
rnacentral:rRNA from 1 species